rnacentral:rRNA from 1 species
GACGAACGCUGGCGGCGUGCUUAACACAUGCAAGUCGAACGGUAAGGCCUUUCGGGGUACACGAGUGGCGAACGGGUGAGUAACACGUGGGUGAUCUGCCCUGCACUUCGGGAUAAGCCCGGGGAACUGGGUCUAAUACCGGAUAGGACUGCGCGGUGCAUGCCGUGUGGUGGAAAGAUUUAUCGGUGCAGGAUGGGCCCGCGGCCUAUCAGCUUGUUGGUGGGGUAAUGGCCUACCAAGGCGACGACGGGUAGCCGGCCUGAGAGGGCGACCGGCCACACUGGGACUGAGACACGGCCCAGACUCCUACGGGAGGCAGCAGUGGGGAAUAUUGCACAAUGGGCGCAAGCCUGAUGCAGCGACGCCGCGUGAGGGAUGACGGCCUUCGGGUUGUAAACCUCUUUCAGCAGGGACGAAGCGUGAGUGACGGUACCUGCAGAAGAAGCACCGGCCAACUACGUG